UGGACAAUGAAUCAGUGUUGUUCAGAUCAUGAGCUCGUGGUGUUCAGUCGCAGAUGACUUCUGUUGGAAUGGAUCUACACUGAUGUCUGUUUUAGUACUCCAGUCCUGGGGACCAACAGAGCUCCACAUUUUACAUGUCUCUCUUAUCAAAUACACACAGGUUCCUGAAAACAGGUUGUGAAUCAGGCCCCGUAUUCACAGAAUCUUUUAUCUUCUUCUCAACAUCAGAAAAAGUUUUAAGCUAAGAGUUUCUUUUACAACUUAUUCACAAAGCUGCAGAUUUAAAGGUUUAAGCUACGAAUGAGGGCGGGUUCAGCUCAUUGCUAUGGAUGAUGUCAGCAUGCUUAUUAACUAUGCACACAGUGACUGGAUGAUAAGCAGGUGAGGAGUCUCUGUCAGAAAUGGGUUGAUAGACACUUUGCAGAGGACAAUAUCAUGUAGCCAUGUUCAAAUAAAGGUUUUAAAAUGCAGGCUGAGUGAAGAAUUGAACUCCUUACUCUUAAUUUGACAGUCAUUAAAUAAAGACUUCUAAUGUUUUAA